rnacentral:lncRNA from 10 species
GGUAGAUAAAUGAAUGGAUUGGUGGGUAGGAGGGUGGAUAGAUGGAUGGAUGAGUGGGUGGACGGAUAGGCGAAUGGAUGGGUAGAUAAAUGAAUAGAUUGGUGGGUAGGAGGGUGGAUAAGAGAAUAGAUGGAUGGAUAGGUGGAUGGAUGGAUGGAAAGAUGGAUGGAUGGUUAGAUUGAUUGGUGGAUGAAUAGAUGAAUGGGUGGAUGAGUGGAUGGGGAAAUAGGAUGGAGGAGUACAUGGAUGGUGGAUGAGAGAAUGAAUGGAUGGAUAGGUAAGUUGGAUGGAUAUACAGGUGAAUGCAUGCUAUGUCAUAAGAUCGGAACUGAGGUCAGGAGGCAGGAAAAUUCCUGUGUUCCUCCCUGAUGCAGCAGUAUCAAGUUUUUGAAGUUUGAAAGCUUAGUGAAAACUUUGAGUCAAAUCUCCAGAAAAUUGCAUAUAGACACAAAAUGUUAGCAACUUUAUGGGAGUGGUGGUCAUGGAGCCUAAGAGCCACCUACAGACCCAAGGUGAGGAAUCCCAGUGCAGUCUUAUGUAUUAUUUUUACUCUCUGAGCCCUGAUCUUGGAGAGGAACCCAGGCCCAGUGGAGGGAAGGCAGCUGAGAUGGGGACAGGUAGUUUCCUAAAGGAGAAGACACUUAUGUAUUCAUUCAUUCAUUGCACAACAUUGCUGUGACCUUUCUGGAUGCCUGGGAGAAGAUAAAGGUGCCUCUCAUAAGUGGCAAGUGUUUGGAGCUUGAAGUCAGACAGAUUGCAUUUUUAAUCUCAUCUCUGAUAUGUACUGGCUGGGUGACCUUGGG